rnacentral:lncRNA from 1 species
GGUUUGCUGUUGUUGGAGGCUUUUGACUGCCUUCAUGAGGAUGUUCAUUUGUUGCACGAUCGCAGUAAUUUGAGCAUCUGUGGUAACCACGGGGUGUGAAGAACUGGGCUUUGCUACCAGAGGCAAGGGAGGGGCCUCUUCCCGAUGGAAAGAGUGUCUUGCCGAGCCAGUCGUCGUUGAUCGUUGAGCUCUGGUUCUCAUCAUUACAAGUUUCCUUCUUGCCACUAUCUUUCCCCUACCUAGCGCGCCAAUCUGUUGCUACCAAUACCCUCGUCGCCUGUUCGUCAGGAAUGAGCACCUGCAAAAUGAAGUCCGCAC